rnacentral:rRNA from 1 species
CCUACGGGAGGCAGCAGUGGGGAAUCUUGCGCAAUGGGCGAAAGCCUGACGCAGCCAUGCCGCGUGAAUGAUGAAGGUCUUAGGAUUGUAAAAUUCUUUCACCGGGGACGAUAAUGACGGUACCCGGAGAAGAAGCCCCGGCUAACUUCGUGCCAGCAGCCGCGGUAAUACGAAGGGGGCUAGCGUUGCUCGGAAUUACUGGGCGUAAAGGGAGCGUAGGCGGAUAGUUUAGUCAGAGGUGAAAGCCCAGGGCUCAACCUUGGAAUUGCCUUUGAUACUGGCUAUCUUGAGUAUGGGAGAGGUAUGCGGAACUCCGAGUGUAGAGGUGAAAUUCGUAGAUAUUCGGAAGAACACCAGUGGCGAAGGCGGCAUACUGGCCCAUUACUGACGCUGAGGCUCGAAAGCGUGGGGAGCAAACAGGAUUAGAUACCCUGGUAAGUCCACGCUGUAAACGAUGAGUGCUAGUUGUCGGCAUGCAUGCAUGUCGGUGACGCAGCUAACGCAUUAAGCACUCCGCCUGGGGAUACGGUCGCGAAGAUUAAAACUCAAAGUNAAGUGACGNGNGAGNGNGACGACGACGACGAGAGGAGGAGG